rnacentral:lncRNA from 1 species
AGAUGACAAAGUAGGUUCAGAUAGCUCAGGGUGUGGUUGUACACUUAGGAAUGUUAGAAUAAGAUUUUAUUUCUGCAAUAUAUCUCUAAGUUUUGAUGAUAACAAAGAAUGAAACAAUUUGGUACCCUAAUAAAUUUCUCAAGUGUGCAGGUUUCUAAGAAAAAAUGAAUCUGAUGAAAACAAUGUCUGACAACUAACGAAACUCAGAACAACUGAUCCAACAAUGAAGAAAUCAUAUCUGACUCCGAACAAGAACACUCCUUAAAGAAUCACAUAAAAAAUCUGAUAUUAAAGUUCAUAUUUGAUAUCUGAAGUCUCUACAUCUAAAGACUCUGAAG